rnacentral:rRNA from 1 species
CAAUAGCGUAUAUUAAAGUUGUUGCAGUUAAAAAGCUCGUAGUUGGAUUUCUGGCAGGAGGAGCCGGUCACACACUCUGUGCGUGAACUCGUGCUGUCUCUGGCCAUCCGUCGGGAGAUCCUGUUUGGCAUUAAGUUGUCGGGCAGGGAGUACCCGUCGUUUUACUGUGAAAAAAUUAGAGUGUUUAAAGCAGGCUUAUGCCGUUGAAUAUAUUAGCAUGGAAUAAUAAGAUAGGACUUCGGAACUAUUUUGUUGGUUUGCGUUACGAAGUAAUGAUUAAUAGGGACAGUUGGGGUGAUUCGUAUUUCAUUGUCAGAGGUGAAAUUCAUUGGAUUUUCUGAAAGACGAACUACUGCGAAAAGCAUUUACCAAGGAUGUUUUUCAUUAACAAGAACGAAAGUUAGGGGAUCGAAGACGAUUAGAUACCG